rnacentral:rRNA from 1 species
GACGAACGCUGGCGGCGUGCUUAACACAUGCAAGUCGAACGGAAAGGCCCUGCUUUUGUGGGGUGCUCGAGUGGCGAACGGGUGAGUAACACGUGUGUAACCUGCCCUUGACUUUGGGAUAACAUCAGGAAACUGGGGCUAAUACCGGAUAGGAGCUCCUGCUGCGUGGUGGGGGUUGGAAAGUUUCGGCGGUUGGGGCUGGACUCGAGGCUUAUCAGCUUGUUGGUGGGGUAGUGGAUUACGAAGGGUUUGACGGGUAGCCGGCCUGGGAGGGUGACCGGCCACAUUGGGACUACGGGACGCCCCAGAAUGCUACGGGCGGCAGCGGUGGGGAAUAUGACACAAUGGGCGGAAGCGUGAUGCAGCAGCGCUGGGUGCGUGAUGCCGGCCUUCGGGUUAUAAACCGCUUUCGCCUGUGACGAAGCGUGAGUGACGGUAAUGGGUAAAGAAGCACCGGCUAACUACGUG